GACGAACGCUGGCGGCGUGCUUAACACAUACAAGUCGAACGGAAAGGCCCUGCUUUUGUGGGGUGCUCGAGUGGCGAACGGGUGAGUAACACGUGAGUAACCUGCCCUUGACUUUGGGAUAACUUCAGGAAACUGGGGCUAAUACCGGAUAGGAGCUCCUGCUGCAUGGUGGGGGUUGGAAAGUUUCGGCGGUUGGGGAUGGACUCGCGGCUUAUCAGCUUGUUGGUGGGGUAGUGGCUUACCAAGGCUUUGACGGGUAGCCGGCCUGAGAGGGUGACCGGCCACAUUGGGACUGAGAUACGGCCCAGACUCCUACGGGAGGCAGCAAUGGGGAAUAUUGCACAAUGGGCGGAAGCCUGAUGCAGCAACGCCGCGUGCGGGAUGACGGCCUUCGGGUUGUAAACCGCUUUCGCCUGUGACGAAGCGUGAGUGACGGUAAUGGGUAAAGAAGCACCGGCUAACUACGUG
rnacentral:rRNA from 1 species